rnacentral:rRNA from 1 species
UACGUAGGGGGCAAGCGUUAUCCGGAUUUACUGGGUGUAAAGGGAGCGUAGACGGCAACACAAGUCUGAAGUGAAAUGCCGGGGCUUAACCCCGGAACUGCUUUGGAAACUGUAUCUCUUGAGUGAAGUAGAGGCAGGCGGAAUUCCUAGUGUAGCGGUGAAAUGCGUAGAUAUUAGGAGGAACACCAGUGGCGAAGGCGGCCUGCUGGACAAUAACUGACGCUGAGGCGCGAAAGCGUGGGGAGCAA